rnacentral:rRNA from 1 species
UACGGAGAGGGCUAGCGUUGUUCGGAAUUACUGGGCGUAAAGCGUGCGCAGGCGGUUUGCUAAGACAGGUGUGAAAUCCCCGGGCUUAACCUGGGAACUGCGCUUGUAACUGGCAAGCUUGAGUGUGGCAGAGGGGGGUGGAAUUCCACGUGUAGCAGUGAAAUGCGUAGAGAUGUGGAGGAACACCGAUGGCGAAGGCAGCCCCCUGGGCUAACACUGACGCUCAUGCACGAAAGCGUGGGGAGCAAACAGG